rnacentral:tRNA from 1 species
GCCGAGGUGGUGGAAUGGUAGACACGUCGGAUUCAAAAUCCGAUGCUGGUGACAGUGUGCGAGUUCAAGUCUCGCCCCGGGUA